rnacentral:Y_RNA from 1 species
GGCUGGUCUGAUGGUAAUGAGUUAUCAGAACUUAACACUGGCAUCACUAAAGUUGGUAUACAACGUCCCCACUGCUAAAUCUGACUAGCUUAAA